rnacentral:rRNA from 1 species
AUUGAACGCUGGCGGCAGGCCUAACACAUGCAAGUCGAACGGUAACAGGCCUUCGGGCGCUGACGAGUGGCGGACGGGUGAGUAAGGUAUGGGGAUCUGCCUGAUGGAGGGGGAUAACCACUGGAAACGGUGGCUAAUACCGCGUAAUGUCGCAAGACCAAAGUGGGGGACCUUCGGGCCUCACGCCAUCAGAUGAACCCAUAUGGGAUUAGCUAGUAGGUGGGGUAAAGGCCUACCUAGGCGACGAUCUCUAACUGGUCUGAGAGGAUGACCAGUCACACUGGGACUGAGACACGGCCCAGACUCCUACGGGAGGCAGCAGUGGGGAAUAUUGGACAAUGGGGGCAACCCUGAUCCAGCCAUGCCGCGUGUGUGAAGAAGGUCUUCGGAUUGUAAAGCACUUUAAGUUGGGAGGAAGGGCAGUAAGUUAAUACCUUGCUGUUUUGACGUUACCAACAGAAUAAGCACCGGCUAACUUCGUGCCAGCAGCCGCAGUAACAC